CGGCAAUGGAAACUCUGACCGAGCAACGCCCGCGGCAUGACGAAAUACUUCAGUACUUAAAGUCCUUUUAUCGAGGAAGAAAAGCAAAUGGCGAACCAUUUGUUGGCCGGUACUUGAUGAAUAAGCCCCGGCUAAUUAUGUGCCAGCAGCCGCGGUAAGACAUAAGGGGCAAGUGUUAUCCGGAAUUAUUGGGCGUAAAGGGUGCGUAGGCGGUCUAGUAAGUCAGUGGUGUAAUGGCAACGCUUAACGUUGUCCGGCUAUUGAAACUGCUAAACUUGAGUUAGAUAGAGGCGAGUGGAAUUCCAUGUGUAGCGGUAAAAUGCGUAAAUAUAUGGAGGAACACCAGAGGCGUAGGCGGCUCGCUGGGUCUUAACUGACGCUGAGGCACGAAAGCGUGGGGAGCAAACAGGAUUAGAUACCCUGGUAGUCCACGCCGUAAACGAUGAGUACUAAGUGUCGGGUUAAACCGGUACUGAAGUUAACACAUUAAGUACUCCGCCUGAGUAGUACGUACGCAAGUAUGAAACUUAAAGGAAUUGACGGGACUCCGCACAAGCGGUGGAUCAUGUUGUUUAAUUCGAAGAUACCCGAAAAACCUUACCAGGUCUUGACAUGUUUUUGCAAAAUGAUAGUAAUAUCGUGGAGGUUACCAGAAACACAGGUGGUGCAUGGUUGUCGUCAGCUCGUGUCGUGAGAUGUUAGGUUAAGUCCUAAAACGAGCGAAACCCUUAUCAAUUAGUUGCCAGCACGUUAUGGUGGGGACUUUAACGCUGUCUCCUAAUCAUAAAUUGGAGGCGAGGUGCAGGAUCACGUCAAAUCAGCAUGCCCCUUAUGACCUGGGCUACAAACGUGAUACAAUGGCUGUUACAAAGGGUAGCUGAA
rnacentral:rRNA from 1 species